GUCAACUCAAUCAGGAAAGAUUUUGAAAUCCAGUGAAGGACUGGUUGCUCCCGAGAUGGAAAGAGUGGAUGACUCGAAUAUGCUCAACAUGAGCACGGUCCUCACUGUCUUUCCCAAGCUUAGCGAUGAACUCAUCAGGCAUGUCAUAUAGAAGCAGUUCGUCGAGAUGCGUAAGAUGCUCCAUUCCAAGUGGAAGUAAGCUCAAAUUUUGACAUCUAGACAUGAUUAGCUUCUCAAGCUUAUGUAAGAUUAAUAAAUGCGGAAUAAGUAAAUCACAAUACCAAAUAAUUAACCACUAACCUUUGACGCCAUUGCUGCAAUGAACUAAGGAUUCGUCUACUCUCAACACAGACCGAAUGCACUGCUACAAUCAAUGGGGCUUGAUAUCUUUUUGUGCGUAAUCCGUGUGAGAGCAGGGGACCCCUAUUAUAUAUCCUAAAUGGUGGUGUUUGAUAAGGAUACUUCCCAUCAUGUAAUCCUUAUCAAACUAUCAAACCGAUAACCCUUAUCACCACAAACCAUACUAUUCAUAUCAGUAUAGAUAUAUCUACUCAUAUCAGAAUUACUUUAGCUAUAUAUCAGUCCACAUACAUUCCUUGAUAGCUUACAAGUAUAGUCAAUCCUAAUCUCUUAUGAUCUCAAACCCUUAAGCACGUGUCAAACAAGUGAGCAGCUCUAACAAAGCUUACAUUCUCCCACUAGAGCCAACACUUGUUUAUCACAGUACCACCUAAUAAGAAAUCAUACUUGAAUGGCCAUGAGAAUAAGAUUAACAAAACCCUGAUAACAAGUUUCUGUCAUAAGUUAGUAUUCAUGAAGAACUAAAGGGAAGUCAUGCUCCAAUAUAUAAACAUUAUCCCCAAAAUUACUGUCAUGAAACCAUCAAACACAUGAAACUCCAUCAAGACAUGAAAAAUAAUACAAGAUGCAAAUAUGAAUGCUUCUUUAAUGCACUUGCAUUAUGGUCCUCCCUUAAGACCAGUAAACUAGUCCACUUUAUUGUCUCGUACUGAGACCCUUAAGUUGCUUUUUUUGUUACAACAAUUCAAACAAAUUGUCAUCCAAAAUACACUUUCAUAAUGUAUCUGUAUCAUAACUAUAACACUGCAAUUUCUGGGAAACCUUUGCAACUAGCAGCGUAUUACUUUAUUAGUUAAGAUGAUCUAAACAUAAAUACUUUAAUGCAUAUUCCAAAAAAUACCUGAAUCAACCAAUGUCCAAGAACAAAUGUCUUAAACAUGAUCUAAACUCCCACUUUUCUGCAGUACCAAAAACUUCCAGCACUUCCAUCUUCCUUGUAUGUUUCUUGAAUAUUGCCUUUGCAAUGGCCUUGUUCAACGGAUAUGCUAUCAUAGAACCUGUCUCCAAAUAAUUGAUUUUAACCAAACCAAUCAUCACCUUUUCACGAGCAACAAAAAACUUAAUCUCCGGGUUCCUUGUAGUAUUGUAUCUCUUAUUGUUCUUUGUGAAGAAAAUCACUGCACUAUUAUCACAGUAAAGCUGAAUGAGUCUUGAGAUUGAGUCAACAAUACGAAGACCAAUGAUAAAAUUCUUGAACCAAACUACCUAAUUCACAAUUUCACAGCAAGACAAGUACUCAACCUCGAAGAAUGCAAUGAUGUCUUGCUUGGCACUCCCUUAAGAAACAGCUCCAUUAGCCAUCAUAAACACAUAGCUUGAAGUUGAUUUCAAAUCAUCUGGGAAAUCAGCGAAGUCUGCGUCAUUUGUAUCCUUCUAAGACCAAGUUUUCAGUAUUCUUAUAAACCAGCAUAUGAGACUUAGUUUUCUACAGGUACCUUAGAACUCUUUUCCUAGCAUUCCAAUGUGCUUCUCCUGCAUCAGAAUGGAAUCUCCCUAAAAACCUAAUGGUAAAAGAUAGGUUUGGCUUAGUACAAACCUGAGCAUUCAAUAAGCUCCUUACUAAUGAGGCGUAAUGACUAUCCUUCAUCAUUUCCUUUUCCAAAUUAUUUCUAAGACAUUGCUCCUUGCUUAGCUUAGCACUCUUCGAUAUAGGCAUUUCAGUUGUGCCGCAUGCUGACAUGUUGAAUCUAUUUAAAACUUUCUCAAUGUAACUUCUUUUUGACAACCCUAACAAUCCCUUCUUUUUUUCUUUUUUUUUUUUUUUUUUUUUCUUCUUUCUCUUUUAAUCUCGAUGCCGAUCACCUAAAUCUUUCAUCUCAAACAUGAAAGACUUGGUAUCAUCUAAGAAAAUCAAACUAUUUGUUGCCAACAAUAUGUCAUAAACAUUGAGUACCAGAAUAAUGAAGUUGCGCCCACUGACUUCCAAGUAAAUGUAGGCAUCAUAAGGGUUUUCCACAAGGCCAUGAUCCUUAACAACACGAUGGAACUUUAAAUACCACUGUCUUGACGCCUGUUUUAAACCAUAGAUUGGUUUUUUUUUUCAAUCUAAUUGCUCUCUCCCUUUCUCCUUCAAACUCUCUGGUUGUCGUGUAUAUAUAUAUAUACUUUCCUCCAUAUCACCAUUUAAAAAAGUCGUUUUUACAUCCAUUUGAUGCAAAACAAGUCAAAAUGUGCCACCAUCGCCAUGAUUACUCUGAAUGCAUCUUUUGUUGGUACUGGACUAGAAGUUUCUUUAUAAUCGGUACCUUCUCUUUGAAUGAAUCCCUUGGCCAUCAAUCUGACCUUAUGUCUCUUUAUAUUUCCCUUUGAGUCUUUCUUGGUCUUAAACACCCGUUUACAACCUUUCGGUUUCAUGCCUUCUCUUGGUUCCACUAGUUCCCAUACUUUUUUUUUUUUCUUCCAUUGAUGACAUUCAGACUCCAUAGCUUCUAAUUGUUUGCUUGCUUUUGGACUCGAGAUGGCUUGUUUGAAAGUCCCAGGAUCUUCGAACUCUGAUAAAUUAAAAUCUGGCCUUUCCAAAUACACAAAAUCUGAUGAGAUUGUUGACUUUCUUACCCUAUUUGAUUUCCUCAGAAGCAGUGAAGCAUCAUCGACUGCCAAAACUGGUGAGUUUAGUCGGUGGUUGCUUCCAUUGGCAGUGCUUCCUCCACGUGUGCUUCCUGAUUUCCUGCAUGUUGUUCAUCAUUCAACAACACCCCAAUUUCAGUGCCAUACUCCAGUCGGUGGUUAUUGCCACUUGGAGCUGCCACCUCCACGUAAUCUCCAUGAUCAUCAUUUUGUUGCUCACCAUGCAACAACACAUUAGUUUGCUGCUCACCAUGCAAUAAUUCAUUAGUUUCAGUGCCAUGCCCAAAAUUAGAAUCAUCAAUACCUCCACUUAAUUUCUUCCAUUUGAUUUGGAAGUUGAACCAAAGCUGCUGCAGUCAGUGAAUGUUUAAAUCAUUCCCCAUUUGACCAUCUUCUUCAAAUAUAAAAUUGUCAGUUCUUGUGCUUACAUGAUCGUCCAUCUCUAACUCCAUAAACAACUGGUAGAUUGGUCCUACAAUCAUACUCCUUACCAUGUCCAUUAGGGUUCUAAUUCUUCUCUAAGCCACUUCAUUUUGCUCCGGUGUACCAGGGAUGGUAUAUUGAGCUACAAUUAUAUGUUCUUGUAAAAAUAAAGCAAAAGGCCAAGGGUAUCUGCCACAAUUUGUCUGUAUCUUCCAUAGUAUAAAUCUUGAAAACUUCUAAGGCUUUUGAUUUUUCAGAAAUCAAAUAAAUGUAACAGUAGUCUUAAAAUCAUCUAUGAAAAUUAUGAAAUAUUUAUUUUCUUCAAUUAUUUGUGUGGAAAAAGGACCACAAAUAUCUUUAUUGAUUAUUUCUAAAAGUUGUUUGCUCUUCCUUGAACCCUCUUUUCUUUUGUUUGUCAUUUUUCUCUUGACACAAUCAAAACUCAAAAUCGUUGACGCCUUUAUUAUUCAAAGAAAAUAAAAAACUAGCAAAACCAACUUUGAAAUGAAACUAAUUUCAUUCUAAUAUAAGGUACAUAAACCAUGUUAUCAAGUUCUAAACAAAAACUAAAAUCUAAUUUUAUCCUAGUAGUUUCUAUUGCCAUGACUUCAACUCUUUCAUUGCCAAAUGAGACUUUUGACUUCAUCCUUAUUUGGUGUUCUCUUUAUUAUGAAGUCCUGCAAUGAAUUUGUUACAUGAAUAGAAGAGCCAAAGGCAAGCCACCAAGCAUUGGUAGGCAUAUCAGUUAAAUUUGAUUCAAAACAAACAAAAAAAAAAAUUGAAAUAUAUAUAUAUAUAUAUAUUUUUUUUUUUUUUACUUUUAUUUGCCUCCUGUUUCGCAAGCCAUGCAUUGUACUUGGGACAAUUUCUCUUCAUAUGGCCUGCCUUUUGGCAAAAUAACAUUUGCAAACUGUAAAAUUGUUAAGUUUGAAAGUCCUAGACAUGGGAGUAUUUCUAGCAUUUUCUUUCCUGGCACCCUUGACCUGUUGCUUUUGGUAUGACCUUGAAUAUAGUUCACAUACUCAUCCUUUUCAAUUCUCUCCUUUUAAUUCUCACUUCCUCCCCAACACAAAAAGAAAUUAACUCAUUCACAUCCCAUUUGGCUUUGGUUUGCAAAGCAUUGUAAGAAACUUUCAAAUGAGUAUAGGAUUCUGGGAGUGAAUUCAUGAUUACAUGCACCAAAAAGGUUUCAGAAAUUGGUACCUCAAGAUUUCUGAGUUUCCAAGCAAUGUUGAUGACUCUGAGAAUAUAUUGGCGCACACUUCCUUCACCAUCAUACCUGAUUAGUGAGUGAAUUCAUGAGGUUGCCAGUUUCAGUUUUCUCGGACUCUUUGUACUUUUCCUCAAUAGAUUUCAUGAACUCUUUUGCAUUCGUUGCCUCUGGGAAUCCUCCACGAACAACAUCAGGCAUUGUUCGUUGAUUAUCAUCAGCGAGAUUCGAUUCGAUUUUUGCCACUUUUCAUACUUUGAUCUUUGGCUGGAAGUGCUUCCAUUGACAGUUAGCGGGGUUCCUCAAUUCUCAAUGCUAAAUCCAUAUCCAUGACACCAUAACGAUUUCCAAGUCUUGUUUCCUUUUCUUAUAGUUGACGCCAUUGAUGAUUCAACAGUGUUGAGGUUAUGGAACUAGGGUUCAUGGCUGCAACUUGAAAAGUAUUACUCUUUAAUCCCCUUUCUUUAUAUCAUAGACUCAAAAACCUUUGGAUUAAUGAGUUAUAUGAAGAUUUUUCUUUAAUCAUGGCACCUUCACAGCCAACAUACGUUUUUCUGUAGUCAUUGUUACAACCCUUUGUGGAUUGCAAGAAGUAACUGUGUUCAUACCUUGGAUUGUAAAGUGCCAUGCCACUUGAGAUCAAAACAUAGACUACUGAACAUCUUUAGAUGAUCAGUGACGAUGCUUCAAUCCCAAUGCCAAUACUAAUUUCGUAUUCUUAAUAAGAAUCAUACAUAUUGCACAGAUAGCUUUAGCUAUCAUAUGCAUACACAUGUUCUCCCUGUAUAAUACGUAAUUAGUCUUUAACCUGAAAAUUUUAAAAAACAAAUCUUUAUGCUUUCCUCUUAGGGUUAAUUGGUAUGUGAAAGCUCUGAUACCAAAUGUAAGAUUAAUAAAUGCGGAAUAAGUAAAUCACAAUACCAAAUAAUUAACCACUAACCUUUGACGCCAUUGCUGCAAUGAACUAAGGAUUCUUCUACUCUCAACACAGACCGAAUGCACUGCUACAAUCAAUGGGGCUUGAUAUCUUUUUGUGCGUAAUCCGUGUGAGAGCAGGGGACCCCUAUUAUAUAUCCUAAAUGGUGGUGUUUGAUAAGGAUACUUCCCAUCAUGUAAUCCUUAUCAAACUAUCAAACCGAUAACCCUUAUCACCACAAAACCAUACUAUUCAUAUCAGUAUAGAUAUAUCUACUCAUAUCAGAAUUACUUUAGCUAUAUAUCAGUCCACAUACAUUCCUUGAUAGCUUACAAGUAUAGUCAAUCCUAAUCUCUUAUGAUCUCAAACCCUUAAGCACGUGUCAAACAAGUGAGCAGCUCUAACAAAGCUUACAGCUUAGGCAUUGCCCCGUUCUCGACUACCAUCUUAUUUAGCUGAUCAAACUGUUCAAUAUGUAAUAUCUUUAGCUUGUUGAACGUUUCAGCUUUGAAUUUCAACUCUGCACCGGUGUGAUACUGAACCAAAUCGAGCUCCAUCAGCUCAGGCAAAGCUUGAAGGGCCUCAAGUGGGUUUUCAUUAGCCUGAAGUUUUGACCACUUUAAACCAAUC
rnacentral:lncRNA from 1 species